rnacentral:rRNA from 1 species
UACGUAGGGUGCAAGCGUUGUCCGGAAUUAUUGGGCGUAAAGAGCUCGUAGGCGGUUUGUCGCGUCUGCCGUGAAAACUCGGGGCUUAACCCCGGGCCUGCAGUGGGUACGGGCAGACUAGAGUGCGGUAGGGGAGACUGGAAUUCCUGGUGUAGCGGUGAAAUGCGCAGAUAUCAGGAGGAACACCGGUGGCGAAGGCGGGUCUCUGGGCCGUAACUGACGCUGAGGAGCGAAAGCGUGGGGAGCAAACAGG